UUUGGAAUCAGCUGGGGAGGCCAUGGCUUUAGGGCCAAUAGGAUGUCACCUUCAGUAGGGGUGGAGCCAAGUUUUGGAACGAAAGAAAGGGUGUGUUUUCGUGGGAACUGGGAAGUUUUGAUCCCUGUCCUGAGAAAUUUCAGGCUUAUUUCAUUUCAUGUGCACCAACCCAUAGGAUCUCAUUCCUGCUGCCGCUCUCUUUGAGAUUGUUCCUGCCCUGCCCACAGUGCUUCCGGCCACCAUUUUCCAAGCUGAAUGCCGACAACCUAAUUUACGACAGUGCUUUGGGAACAAGUGUGCUGUUCAAAACCAAGGUUGAAAAUCAAGAGUUUUGGCUCGGCGAACGCUUCGUCUUAAGACCUGGAAUCUGCAAAUCUUCAGAAUAGGCUUUCUAGAAUCGCUCCUGAAAAACAGUACUGAGAAGAUAUGCAUUUUUGGAUCAUUUAUUUGGCCCAUCAUUAAUAAAAUGUACAUAAAGUCAAAAUGCAGUCCUGUUUAGCAAGAAGGAAUCUCUUCAAUCCCCAUAACUUUUUAUGUCAGAAUUCAGGAAAAAGAACAUAGGUUGCGAGUGAUGUAAAAGAUGUGAUGAGAGAAAAUCAGCACUAGUAUACAUCAUUAUAGCAAUUUUAACACGGGAAAACAAACCACUCCAGACAGUUGAUGAAUGGCUUCAAUUGCUUUUAUCUCAUUCAGCUCUGAUUUUAUUGAUGGUUGGCUGUGUGUAUCCCUUUAAUCCAAACUAAGGUUUAAUGGCCUUUCUCUCUCCUCUCCCUUUCAGGACUUUUAUAUUCUCCAGUGCUUUGAGGAUCUGACUGAUUUCCUAGCUGUAUUCUCAUUACUCCACUGAUAGUAUCAAGUGUUUCCUAAAUUCCCAAGCUGUAUCUGUUGACCCAGCUCUCUGUAAAUACUGACUUUAUUUCUGAUUGUAGGGUAUAUGUGGAGGGAAAGAGUCGGGGGUCAGGAGUCAGAGGAUCUGGGGUCUACUCCCAGUUCUGUCACAUGGUUUUGCUUUGCAUAAGGCCUAAUAUUUCCAUUUCGACCCUUUCCAACCAAACCACCUUGCGUCACCGAGGUCCCUUUUGAAACUAACUUUCAGUCACACCCUUCCCAUGAAGAAAGCAGGUAAUAGUACACCAAACUUCACAUAAAUAAUAGAUGGAAUGUAGAUUGCAUUUCUAAUUUGGUGGGAGGCAGAGAGCUGUCAAACAGGAGUCUGUGCAAUAAGAAAUGGACUGGAAUAACUAUCUGUACAUAGCGAUCUUGAUAGAAGUACUCAGUGCGGCAAAACUUUCUUUUAUGUUUGGCACACAGAGACAAAUUAGAUGCUUUAUCUGUCACAGUUGCCUAUUUGAUAUCUGAAUGAGUUAUAUAACUUAAAACAAAUAAAGGAAAGAUAGCACAUUCUCAAUAGUUAGAGAGUCCUAUUUUAUAUCAAAACUAAACAGAAAACCCAAAUGUUUUCACAUCUGGACGAGUGCACAUCUACCCAAAAGUUUCCAAGAAAGCUCUGAUUUAUGCAGCAUGGCCUAGUAGACAGAGCACGGGCCUGGGAUUCAGAAGAUCACGAGAGAAGCAGCGUGGCUUAGUGGAGAGCACGGGCCUGGUAGUCAAAGGUCAUGGGUUCUAAUCCCGGCUCUGUCCCCUUUCUGCUGUGUACCUCGGGCAAAUUGCUUCACCUCUCUGGGGCUCAGUUACUUCGUCUGUAAAAUGGGGAUUAUGACUCUACCCCCGAUUUGGGACAUUAACCGUGUCCAACCUAACUUGCUUGUAUUCUCCACCUCAGCAUCUAGCACAGAGUAAGCGCUUAAAAAAUACCACAAUUAUUAUUAUUUGCAAGUGUAAGUAUGAGUGUGUAUUUUCAGCGAUUCUGGCUUUGACAGUUCCCAAAAGAGUCAGUUGAAAGGUGUUGGGAGUGGACAAGCCGUGGUCCCUCUCCAUUAUUGGGCCCACAUAACGAAAGAUUCAUUCAUUCAAUCGUAUUUAUUGAAUGCUUACAGUGUGCAGAAAAGUUCAGUUAGGCAACAGGUAGUGACAAUCCCUACCCAACAAUGGGUCACAGACUACAAGUGGGGAGUUCACUUCCGUUGAAUGUGCCACAUGGAUAUAAGAAGUAAGAGCAUCGCUUGGCUAAGUAAACGGGAAUAACGGGUGCACACACCACGAGGAAUCC
rnacentral:lncRNA from 1 species